GGAUUUCUGCGCGGCGCGUGGUUCGCUUAAAACCCCGGGGCCAAUAAGAACUCCCGGGAACUGUUCCUGGUUGGGAUCUUGGUCCCGAUCACACGGUGCCCACCUGCACUAGCAGGCCUUGGAGGUCUUACGAACCAUCGGCCCAUCGUGGAGCCGCC
rfam:Alphaproteobacteria bacterium RIFCSPHIGHO2_12_FTLL_66_14 rifcsphigho2_12_scaffold_36959, whole genome shotgun sequence.